AAGAAAACAUGCCAUGAUACCACAUGCUCCCUAAUCCUCUACUUUCUCAAACCCUAUUUUCUGCCUGCCUUUUCUUUCACCUCCCUUUAGCCAAUUCCAUUCCUGGCUACCUCAUCCCCUCCAGUCUGAAAGGACGUGGUAAGUACUUGUCUGUUCCCUAUGCUUUUCUCUCUCUCACUCUCUUCCUCUCCUCCCAGCUCCCAACUGAGAGCUAUCCCUGUUUCAACUCUUUCCAGUGAAUGCCACCAGGAUCUGAACCCAAGAUUCCAGCCUUGGUCACCACCCUGACCCUGAGAAUGCCACUGGGAUGGGGAGAACUUGUCAGUCUUCAUCCUUCCCCACAAGUAUACUGAGGCCAGGACAGGCUCAGCUCCAGAAGCAGACCCAGAAUGGCAUCCUUCUCUGAGACCCAGACCCCAGCCCCUCUUCAUGGAAGACCAGCACAAAGGAGGAAGUAGGUUAGGGAAUGGUAAGGCUCCAUGUGAUGGGACUAAUGUGGAGAGGCCUGGGGCCUUUCCCUGAGGACUGGAUGGCUGGAGUUUGGGAGCCUGAGUUGACAGAGGAGGCUAAGCCCGGGCAGCUACUUUGUUCCAGAAAUCUAAGGUCCCUGGAGGGAGGCUCUGCUUUGGGAGGGGGAAGGGAGCUAACAUUGCAGAGCACCAACUGUGAACCAGGUACAAUGGCAGAGCCUUUCCAUACCUGUACUCACAACUAGCGGGUGAGGAGUCAAGGCAAAUAGGUGUCUCAUAGCUCCCCAUAUCUCGGCAGUCGACCACCUCCUCCUUUGAUUCUCUGAUGUCACUGCCAGUUCUCCUCCUAUUGCUCUGACCUGUCUUUCUCUGUGUCCUUUGCAAACUCAUUCUCAACUCCUUAGACUCAGUCAAGUCCCCCAGUUACACACUUCCAUGGUACUAUAUAUCGUUCCUUCAGAGCACUUAACACAGUUAUUUCCUAUGUAUUUGUCCAGUCAUUUGAAUAAUGAUCCUAGUUUCAUUGGAUGGAAAGUUCCACAAGGUCAGUGACCAUUUCUAUCUGUGUUCACCAAUGUGUUCCCAGUGCCCAGAAACAAUGCCUAGCAUAAAGCAGCUGUUUUGUAAAUACUUGUUCA
rnacentral:lncRNA from 1 species